rnacentral:rRNA from 1 species
CAGCACCUCAAGUGGUCAGGAUGAUUAUUGGGCCUAAAGCAUCCGUAGCCGGCGCUGUAAGUUUUCGGUUAAAUCUGUACGCUCAACGUACAGGCUGCCGGGAAUACUGCAGCGCUAGGGAGUGGGAGAGGUAGACGGUACUCGGUAGGAAGGGGUAAAAUCCUUUGAUCUAUUGAUGACCACGUGUGGCGAAGGCGGUCUACCAGAACACGUCCGACGGUGAGGGAUGAAAGCUGGGGGAGCAAACCGGAUUAGAUACCCGAGUAGUCC